UUUUUUUCUUCAUUUUCCCCCCUGGACAGCCAUGCAAUGUCAGAAAGACCCAUAAAAUGCCACUGUGACCAUGGUGCUCUGCUUUUACAUCAUGAGGCGGCUUCAAAAGGCGCACAGGUGUCAAACUCCAGUCCUCGAGGGCCAUUAUGCUGCAUUUUUUCUAUCGCUCCCUGCUGCGACACACCUGCUUGAAAUGAUCAGGAACUUUAUCAGGCUCAUGCAGAGCUCGCUGAUGAGCAAUACAUACAGAGAAUGUCGUAACCAUGGAGGAGAAUUGCGGGGAGACCAACGUGACCUCACGUGAUGCCACGCACGUCGUAACCUUUGCGACCAACCCUCGCCGUUGGUGGGAAAGAACGAUGGCGAUGGCUCCAAGGUGGCCGCGUUGUUCCUGCGCAUGGGGGAAAAAAAAAAACAAAGAAAAAGGAUGCGGUCAGACCACACAUACAGGUACGCGCGUGCAUACACACGCACACACCAAAUUUCAGCUCUUGUUAUGUUGAGCUUCUCUCGGCCUGUCACCAUAAUUAUUACGUCAAGUUAUAUUUUGACAAAGUAAAUGGACAUGACCGUUUUCCCCCAACCCCCAGAAUCGCUAAAUUGUCAUUUACAUGCGUGUUUGUUUACAUACAUCAUCAACAUUCAGCCGCUUCGCUGCUGCUCCUGUCAAUCAACUUGCUGGCUGCUGUGUUGUGAGAGGCAGGCCUCACACACGGACACUGUUGAAGCCGAGAGAAUGAAUGGCCCUCUUUAAGUUUUCCUGACAACUGUCGGUGUACAAUCAGCGAACGUUUAAGCGGCACAAAUGGAAUUGGUUCCAAAUUCUUAAGGCCGCGGCAGAGUCAGAAUCAGAUUUAUUUGCCAUUUAUGCAAGGAAGACACAAGCUAUUUACUUCCCAGUGACGCCCCCGUUCAGAGGAACAUAGACAAGACAGCAAUAACCAACAUGGGGGAGACAGAACGGGAAGCCUGGCGGGUCGCUGUUAAGCGCUCCGAUAUCCGAUAUCUUACAUGUGAAAGGAAAACAGUUGGGAAGAAGGGGCGGGAGGACAAAAGACUCCAACCAUUCUCCUCAAAGUGUGGAUGGUUUGAGCGAGAGAUAAAAAAAAAACUCACCACAUGUAGCAUACAUUUAAAAACACAACACAGCAGUUCUCAAGACUUAUGAAUACGGCGAAGACUUUGACAUUACGCCUGCAGCUGUCUGAAUAGUUUGGAUUCAAGCUCAAUGAACGCAAAGUGGCUUGCUAACAUCUACGCCGCCUUGAUCCGAAGAAAAGUUAUAACACAGCAAAAUACAACCAUCUUGUUUUUUGUCCUUGCAAUGACGUGUGGCACUUUCCUAUCAUCGCUAAGGGCUCAUUUACAGCUGCCUCUUGAGUCCCAAGGGUGGAUUAUUUGCAUUCAUUGAAGGCCGUUUGACGUCCGAAGUGGACAAAGUUAACAGGACGUACUGGCGAAAGAGCGCCCUGGAAUGCACGGGCCGGCCUGUCUGGGUCAGAGGCUAAGAGGGGAGGGCCAGAGGUUGGCGAAGAUCCGCUGGGCAAACAGGACGCUGGAAGGCAGGGUGAGGAAGCAGCGUUUACUCGCAGCGGUGUGAGAUGUUCGUCACACCAGCUGGAAGCUCAGACGACAUUUUCCUCCCCCCUCCCUUUCUCAGGCUAGAGUGUGCUGUCAGGAUACGGAAGGGUCGCAGGUACAUUAGGAAACGGAAAAAUAAGCAGUGGAAAUUUUCAAAAUGACACCAAAGUUUAGUCCAACAGUAAAAGUAGUUCUUUCUCAGAAAUUGAGUACGUAGCUGCUUUUCAGCUCUCAUCCGCUUUGUGAAGUGAUGUCAGAGUGGAAAUGAACUGACGUUGGCCAUGUGAGUUUGUUGUUCUGCCUGGGAGUGAGUCUAAAGUAUUUCGUUAACCGGUUUUAGAUAGUUCACAUAGCUGGUAGAAAACGUUCACUGCAAGGUCGCGCUAUUGGAAUGUAUUCAUUUUGACUUGAGUUUCUUAAGAGUGGUUGGUGGAAGUUCUUGAAAAUAUGCCACAUUGGAAGGUACUGUAUUGCCUCAGCCACUCUUUGCAUAUCUUCCCUCUACCAAGCCAUGUUCCCCGAAAUACUAUCAAAGGUGGUGGCUUUUUCAUGGGUAAAAGUUAUUGGCCUUACUGACUGCUCGCACCAU